CCGAGCGGCCGCCGUAGCGGUGCGCGCAUGCGCACCGGCUGCCCCCCGCGGCCCGAGCUGCUAAACGCGGGGAACGGGCGUUAGGGGCGUGUCCGUCCCGCCGGUCGUGAGGUCCGCGGUGGUCGCGGGCGGGGACACGGCGUGGGAUGGGCGCCUCCGCACCGCGCGCAGACCCAGCUUCCGGCCGGACCCCGCAGGGCAGCGCCGGAGGUGGUUGUGCUGGCCCGGCGGGGCGGCAGGGCCCCUCCCGCACAGCCCGGCCCGGGUGGGAGCGGCUCGUGCCCGGCCCCGGUGCCGCGGGGCUCUCGGCGCGGACCGCGGAGGCGGUGCCAGCUGCUCUUGGCCGGUGCCGGGCGGGCGCUUUGUCGUCGUUCGCCACCGUGUUAAGAAGGGAGAUGAAAAAUUAGAGCCGCCUGUCCCAUGCGGGCUGCAGAGAAGCUCGGCUUUCCAAAACAAAGCUCUGGAAAUGCCCAGGAUAAAAGAGCAGCAAGAGCUUGCCCAGGGCCCAGGAGUCAGUAUUGCCCAGGAAGUCUUCUGCCUCCAAAGUCCAGUGAGAAACGGCAUGUAAGUAACUGGUCAGCCUUCUUUAGAUAAGGCUGUUGCGCAUAUACUGAAUUCCCAGUUCUGAGUGUCCUUUUUGCUAACAGGAGACACUGGGUACAGUGAACUUAAAGCAACCAAGAAACUUAAAAAAAUCUUGUUCUGGGAUAUAGUUUUUCAUGAUUGGUCUCAAGGCUACAUGAAAUCAAGAAGCAGAUUACCAGAGUACAGCAGUCUCAUACCCUUUCCCACUGCUUCUACACAUUGGUUUUGCAAGUGCUCGGGGCUUUGUGUGGAGACAAAGCGCCACAGUGGGAAGCUUCCCGGGACCCUCCCAGUGAGCCAGGUACGAGAUCAGUCCACUUCUGCAGGGCCGGGCAGCCCUCGGGAGCACAGACCGCGUGACUUGAUUUGCACGCACUUUGGCUGCAUGUGCUCAUUCACAGCUUCCCUCUCACCUCGGAUGAAGCUUCUGGCCAGCAUGAAUUACCUUACCAGUCUCUCUGCCUAUUUUCUCCUCAGGAGUAAGAGAAAAGGUCACUGAACCAGUUUGUUGCCUUGAUUUUUAUCAGGGACCUUUCCUGCUCCAAUCUCUGUAGUAUCUGCUGCUUCGUCCCUGGCUCUGCAGGCUCCCAGCUGGGCUGACCCACAGGGUCUCCCCCUUUGGGACCCAGCAAGCCUUUCUGAGGGGGGUGUGGAAGCCCCCCUGCCCCUUACUCAGUACUGAAGGCUGGCAGGAUGGGAGCUCCUCCAAGGUGACAAAAGGAAGAGAAAGAUCCAAAACCAUCAACACCUGAUGGUGGCCAACUCAGGAGGGAUGAACUGUGAGGCUUCCAGCUGCUACGCUCAGUGUCUGUGAAGCUUGAAUUUCUUACAAGCAGCAUUGCUUGUAUAAUAAAGUAGCACAAGUUGUUUUAA